rnacentral:misc_RNA from 1 species
GAUGAAGAACGUAGCGAAAUGCGAUAAGUAGUGUGAAUUGCAGAAUUCAGUGAAUCAUCGAAUCUUUGAACGCACAUUGCGCCCUUUGGUAUUCCUUAGGGCAUGCCUGUUCGAGCGUCAUUUAAACCUUCAAGCUCAGCUUGGUGAUGGGCGACUGUCCCCCCCCCUCGCGGGGGGGACUCGCCUCAAAAACAUUGGCGGCCGGUACAUUGGCUUCGAGCGCAGCAGAAACGCGGUCUCGAGCCCGGUGGAUCGGCUCCCAUAAGCCUAUUCUUUUAUUUUGACCUCGGAUCAGGUAGGGAUACCCGCUGAACUUAAGCAUAUCAAGCGGAGGA